UACGUAGGGAGCAAGCGUUGUCCGGAAUCAUUGGGCGUAAAGCGCGCGUAGGCGGCCUCGUAAGUCCGUUGUGAAAGUCAAGGGCUCAACCUUUGAAAGCCGAUGGAUACUGUGAGGCUAGAGUCCGGAAGAGGCGAGUGGAAUUCCUGGUGUAGCGGUGGAAUGCGCAGAUAUCAGGAGGAACACCAAUAGCGAAGGCAGCUCGCUGGGACGGUACUGACGCUAAGGCGCGAAAGCGUGGGGAGCGAACAGG
rnacentral:rRNA from 1 species